rnacentral:rRNA from 1 species
GGGUCUACCCAUUGGUCAGGCUUAAUUGUCUGCACUGGUGAGAUGGAUCUCUACCUUCUGAGGAACUUUCAUGCCAUUCAUUUGGUGUGAUGGGAAAUCAGGACUGUUACUUUGAAAAAAUUAGAGUGUUUAAAGCAGGCAUUUUUGCUCGAAUACAUUAGCAUGGAAUAAUAGAAUAGGACGGCAUGGUUCUAUUUUGUUGGUUUCUAGGAUCACCGUA